GACGAACGCUGGCGGCGUGCUUAACACAUGCCAGUCGGACGCUGAAGCUUGGUGCUUGCACUGGGUGGAUGAGUGGCGAACGGGUGAGUAAUACGUGAGUAACCUGCCCUUGACUCUGGGAUAAGCCUGGGAAACUGGGUCUAAUACUGGAUACGACAUGUCACCGCAUGGUGGUGUGUGGAAAGGGUUUUACUGGUUUUGGAUGGGCUCACGGCCUAUCAGCUUGUUGGUGGGGUAAUGGCUCACCAAGGCGACGACGGGUAGCCGGCCUGAGAGGGUGACCGGCCACACUGGGACUGAGACACGGCCCAGACUCCUACGGGAGGCAGCAGUGGGGAAUAUUGCACAAUGGGCGGAAGCCUGAUGCAGCGACGCCGCGUGAGGGAUGACGGCCUUCGGGUUGUAAACCUCUUUCAGCACGGAAGAAGCGAAAGUGACGGUACGUGCAGAAGAAGCGCCGGCUAACUACGUG
rnacentral:rRNA from 1 species